rnacentral:lncRNA from 1 species
AACUAUAUAUCCAAUCACUUGUGAUGGAAUACGAUGAAAGAUAAUGUGAGAAAAAGAAUGUGUGUGUGUGUAUAUAUAUAUAUAUAUAUAUAGAUAGAUAUGAUUGUGUCACUUUGCCAUACAGCAAAAAUUAACAGAAUAUUAUAAAUAAAUUAUAAUAAAAACUAAAAAAUAGUCUUGAACAUCCAAAAAAAAAAAAGAAUGUGCUAUAAAAGCAAAGAUUUCUUAGAAUGCAAAAUCACGAACCACAAAAAUUUUACAUUAAUUUUGACUUCAUCAAAGUUUAAAACUUCUGAUAAUCAAAAGACACCAUUAAUAAAAGGCAUGUGACAGCCUGGAAUAAAGUUAUUUAAAAUAUAUAUUUGCCAGGGAGUUCACAUUGUGGUGCAGUGGAAAUGAAUCUGUUUUCCAUGAGUACGUGGGUUCAAUCCCUGGAUACAGUUGCUGUGAGCUGUGUGUAGGUCACACAUGCAGCUUUGAUCCUGCGUUGCUGUGGCUGUGGUGCAGGCUGGCAGCUGCAGCUCCAAUUGGACUUCUAGCCUGGGAACUUCCAUAUACCAUGGGCGUGACUCUAAAAUUUAAAAAAAAAAAGCAAAAUUAUAUAUUUGCCAAACAAUUUUAUCAAAAAGAUGUGAAGAACUCCUACAUUGUCAAUGAAAAAAGACAAACAACUUUAUGAAAAUGGGCAGAUGAUUAGAUCAGAUACCUCAAAAAGAAGACAGACAAAUGGACAGUAAGCACAUGAAAAUGGGCUCCAAAUCACUUACCAUCAGAGAAAUGCAAAUUAAAAUCAUAACAAGAUUGCCUUUCAAAAUGACUGGAAUGGCUUUUGUUAAAAAAUAGUUAAAACACCAAAUAUCUGUGAGAUAUGUAGAAAUAGGAUUUCCCACACAUUAUUGGUAGGGGUAUAAAAUGGCAUGACAAAUUCACAAAACUGUCCGGUACCGUCUUAUAAAGUUAAACAUAAAUAAUCCCUACAUUUGCAUAACUACACUCCAAUGUUUUUUACCCAAAAGAAAUGAAAACUCAUGUCCACAAAAGACUUGUACAAGAAUGUUCAUAGUGGUUUUAUUCAUAACAGCCCCAAAUUGGAAAUGACCUAGUGUCUAUCCCAGGAGAAUACAUAAACAAACUGUGCUAUAUUCAUACAAUGGAAAACUACUUAGCAAAAAAAAAGGAAUGAACUCAUGGUGCUUAACUAUAUGAAUGAAUCUCAAAAUAUGCCAGACUCAAAAGAGUACAUACUGCAUGAUUCUGUUUAUAUUAAAUUCAAGGAAUUAUAAACAUAUUGUGAAAUUUUGAAACAAUAGUAGUUGUCUUGGGGUGGGAAGGGAUCGAGUAGGACAUAUGAGGAAACUUUAUGAGAGGUGGAAAUUUUCUAUAUUCCUAUUCAGUUAUUGUUUACAUGGGUGUUUACAUUUCUUUAUUGAACUGUAUUCUUAAGGAUUUCCUUACAUGUAAAUUGUACCUAAAUAAAAACAGUGAAAAGUUUCAUUGAUUCAAAGAUUUCACAUUUCUUCUAAAUAACAAUUAUUAAGGAAACAGGUUUUGAAUAUUAGUAAUAGUUUGGUUACUAACAUCUGCUUUUAUCUUAUUAUGAAGUUACUCUGCCAAAUUUAAUCUUUGUGGUUUUGUUUGAGAUUUGAAUGGGGUUCUUUACAGGAGAGUAUUUUCACCCCAAUGGGACUCUGGGAUCCAAUUAUAAGUUGAUACUGAAGAUUAAAUAGCAUAUUUUAAGCUCUAGAGCUGAAAAAUUGGUAUUUCUUUCAAACAUUUGAAAGAUAUGUGAAAUUUUUUUUUUUAAAUCUAUGUAAAAUUACUACUACCCACAAGUGCUGUGUAAGGGGUAGAUGAAGUCAUGGAACUUGUCAUCUAAAAAUGGUUAUAAGCUCAGAGCAGCUACUUAAAAUAAGCAUCCUUUUCCCAUCCCACCCCUAAUCUUCUGGUCUAUAAGAUCAGUGCUCUUAUUCAAAGGUCCAAUAGGGAUGAUUCUGUGUAGCCAAAAAGAGAUCCAAAGAAGGUGGAAUAGGUCUGUGAGCACUCAAGGUGGACUCAGUAUAUUUGGGUAUAGAGAACAGAAUGGGUGGAGGCCAGGUGUAAAACCUAUCUAACUGUUUGGCAUGAGCUGGGCAAGAAGAGUGGCUGGGUACUGAAGUAAAGAAAACUCUGUACUAUACUUCUACUGAAUAAAAGCUAGUGGCACAGAGGAUGCUACAUGAUCCUACCACCUCUUAGCUUUCUGAUCUCCUCUACUCUCCUUUACUGUAUUUCAACCACAUUAGCCUCUACAGGCCAUAUAGGCUCUUAUCUCAGUGCCUCUGCACUUGCUUUGCCCUUGGCCUUGAACUCCCUUCCUCCAGAUAACCACUGAGCUCACUCUUUCACCUCUUUGAAGUCUUUGCUCAAAUUCCCCGUUCUUAGCAAGGCCUUCCCUGACUCCAGUAGUUAAAAUCCAGUGUCUCCCCUUUAUCCGACACUGUGUUUAUUCCCCUUUUCUUCUUAACAGUUUCUUUCCAUAGUGCAUAACCUUCUCAUAUUUUAUAGUGUUUGCUUAUUUGUUUAGUUUAUUGUUUGUCUUCUCACAUUAGAAUGUAAGCUUAACCAGGAUAAACACUGGAACAGUGCCUGGAACAAUGCAGAUAAUCAGCAUUUACCCAAAGAUGGAAUGAAUAAAUACAGAUAUGGGAGAGCUUGUGACUAAGCCUGUAGGUUCUUGAUCUAGACCAUCUAGGCUGAAAGCUGAAUCUGCUAGUUCCUGGCUAUGUGACCUUGAAGAAAUCACCUAACAUCUCUGUGCCUAAGUAAAAUGUGUACUUACCCCAUGUGAUUGUGAUAAAGAUUACGUCUAGGAUAGUGCCUGGCAUUUUUAAGUGCUCAACAAAUAUUAGUAUUGUUGGUGUUCAGUAAUCUAUCAAUAACUUUCCUUCAAGGUUCUGUGUGUUAUUAUAAGGGAAUUUAAAAUUAGGGCUCUAAUCUUCCGAGAAUUUAGAAUUGAAUUUUUAUACAGUUCCUUUUCCCUAGAGAGCCCUUUCACACAUUGCCUGUUGAACUUCACUUUAUUCUUUAAGGCCCAGGUCCGAGGUGACUUUCUUGGUGAGGCCAUCCCAUUUUCUCCAGGUGGUGUAAGCUCUCUUUGCUCUGAACGCAAAGCAUUAAUUUAUUCAUUUGUUUGUUUUGAAAACAUUUAUUCAACAUGUGAUCAUGGGCCAGAUAAGGUGCUAGGGAUAUAGAAAAGACCAAGAUGUAGCUUUGACUCUGAGGGGUAGCAAACACAGACUUACAAAGAAACAAGUGCACAGUGGUGUCCUAUGUUGAUGAGCAGGUAAAGUGCUUACCUAUUGAUCUCUGUCCUGUUUUCUGGAUUGUGAGCCAGAACCUCUACAUUUAAGUUAUUCUAUGUGUCAAAAUUCCCUCUAUGGUGCUUGUCAGGUACUUGGCAUGUACUUAAACAUGUUUAUUGAAAUAAUUGACAUCAUUGGGGAAAACGAUAAAUGUGUAACAAAGAAACAAAUAAAAAAAGAAAUAAGGAUGAUGAUGAUGACAAUAACAGCUAAUACUUAUUGAGUACUUCCUGUGGGUCAGUUACCCUUCUAAGUACUUCAUGUAUUUUAUUUUAAUAUACUCUGUAUAACCAUAGAAAUAGCAAGCAAUUCUCGUUUGUAUUCCAUGGAGGAAACAGGCUCAGAGAAACUAAGUUAUUUGUCCAGGGACAGAACCAUGAUUACAACUCAGCAGGGUUUGUUUCCAAAGACUAUUUUUGCCUGCUCCUCUAUACAUCAGUAAGAUGUUGGCUAGUAUCAUUCUUGAAAUUUUUUGUGGUCAGCUACUUGUAUCUGAGCAUUUGGUAUUUCUUCUCCUGCUAUUAUUCUUUCUCCCCACUCUUCAGACACAAUUAUGGACCUAAAAGUUGUAGACAAAUGGCUCCAGGGAGUCGUGUUUCAAUUAGCAAUGUUGAAGCCAGUGUGGUCCGUGCUCUGGAUUCUGACACACCUCUUCUCUCCUUUUUCUUUUUUUUUCCAGUGUAGUUUAAAAAUGUGCUGAUGGAGAAUUGGACUGCUGACAGUAGCACCAAUCUACCCAUCAAAAAGAAGGAGGCAGUGGGGAACAGUUAGGGUGAACAUAAAGAUAUUCCUUUCCAUUUCUUAAAAGCCUUUACUGGUAGAGAGAGAGCUAGAAACAUAGGAGAUGAUCCAAGGGGGCCUUGCCUUUCGUGAGUUUCAAGGUACUUAGUGUGGGGCAAAAAGUUGUUUUUCUUUUUUGGCUUCUCUAAAUAAGGACAGACAGAUCCUCUUAGAAAACAAAGGAGGAUUCUAUUUCAGCAAUGUUAGGCUUGGAAAUUGUUAUGUACUCUGUUUCAAUGAAUAUUUAUUCGGUCAUAAUUUCUAAGGGGAUAUAGAAUCAUGCAGUUUCAAUGUUCACAAUUAGGUAAAAUCCCUAUUUUUUUCCUCUCAGAUGAGCAAGCCAGGAUGAGAAUUUGAAUUUAUUUUAGCAGACUCACCUUCAGAAUGCUUUGAUUUCAGGAUGCCAGUGUACUUUGGUAAGGUAGCUAUCUGAGCUAUCUGCUUGAGAAGUCAGUACACAGAGAAAAAAAAUAAGGAUCUUCAAGGAAUUUUUAGGGGAAAAAAUGAUCUAGUUCUAUUAAACUAUCUAGGAACAGAAAUAGCAGCAUAUGAUAUUUCAAGCAACCUUAAGAGUGAGUUUAAUUUGAGGCAAAUGCGUGAUCAUCUCAGGUGGGAUAACGUUACUUCUUCAGUCCUGACAUUGACAAAAAAGAUCAAUCAAUUUAAACCAAUUUACAACAAUCAGUUCAAAAAUUGUAUUCUUAUUGUGAUUUUCCCCCAGAAAAAUCUAAAUAUAUUAAUAUUAGCAGAAUUACAUUAAAAGGACACAUUUGAUAACAUUAAAUGAAAUAGCAAAGACCUCUGAUAGUAACAUUAGAGUUAUGCAUGGGAGAAGAUAAAGCAAUUCUAAUAUAAUGACUAUGAGAACAUCAGAUUGCUAUUACCUUAGAAUUGAUAUUAUUGUGUCAAUUAUAUACUUCUACAGUAAAUCUUAGUAAAGUUCCCUCAAUUUUCUAUAGUCCACGUUACACUAUUUAUGUGGUGUCAAUGUUAAGAGAUUAUUACACUUAUACUAUUUUUAUAUUUUUGUAGACAAUAAAAAUUAUAUCCUUAAAUACCGAUGCAAACAUCUAAUUACAUUAGCUUAUAUUAAAUUCAAUUUUAAUGUAGUUCGAGUAGUGAAAUUCUGACGUUGAAUCUGAUUUUGAGAUUUCCAUGGCCCUUUAUCCUAUAACUCAAUUGAUAAUAUUAUUAUAUUGCUUUCCAUUUACGUUAUUAUUUUGGAGCAGAACUAUUUUAAUUAAUCAUUAUUUUAAUAGAAUACAAGCAGCAUGAGAUAAUAGGAAAGGGAAUAUUGACUGUCUUUUUUUAGUGUCAGAAUAGAACAGGCAUUCAAUAGUAUUUGCCAAAUGAAUGAAUAAUAACUUAAAAGUGCGCCAUUACUCUCUGGUAAUCAUCAUUAUUACAUUAAUCAACAUUUAUCCAGUACUUACCCUAUCUUGGGCACACUAUUUUUUGCUUUUUAUACAUUAUUUCUCACCAAAACUGGAGAUUAGAGAGUUCAAGUACCUUGUCCACAUUUAGGCGGCCAGCAAGGAACAAGCUCACACCCAGCCUGUCUUUCCUGGGUCUUGCAGAAGCUGCCCUCUUUCCCUUGUUCUGCAGUAUUUUCCCCACCCCUCUUUGUUCAGCCUCACACAAGGGGCGAGCUCUGCAGACUGGACGUUGUUAGUGGAGCCAGUGAGUGGAUUGGCCCGGGUCCUGCUCUCAUCCCUCAUGUGGGGUCUGACCUCCUCCUUAGCUCAAGGGCUGCGAGGUGGAUUAGUGGGGGUGGGUCAUCCUCCUUCAAACUGGCGCUCACUAGUGGCCCGUCUGAUCUACAAAGCUUCUCUCUUCCUCCUUCCCUGCCUGUGGGUGGGUUUGUGUGCUGAGCUAAUGCCUUUCAAGCAACAUGAUGUUUUCUAGGCCCUCAUCAGUAUUUUCAUCAGAUUGAAGGGAGACACUUUGUUGGAAAUGCUCGGCAGAUACUGUUUUUAAUUGGGAGUCUCUUUGACUUUGCAUUUUUAAUCUCAUUAACAACAAUGUCUUGGAGUGACUUAGCCUGUCUUUAUAACUUGGCUCAGUUGAGGCUUUAUUUACUUAAAAAUAUUGAAAAAUUAAAUUAAAAUUCACUUUUCAGUCUUUGCCUUUUGUCCUUUGAACCAAACCAAACCAAACCAAUCAAACUUCACAAAAAAGACCAGGUCCGGAUUUUGAAUCUAGAAUAUUUUGAAUUGAAAGAAAUAACUUACAGAGUUCCCAUUGUGGCUCAGCAGUAAUGAACCUGACUAGUAUCCAUGAGGAUGUGGGUUUGAUCCCUGGCCUCGCUCAGUGGGUUAAGGAUGCGGUGUUGCCAUGAGCUAUGGUGUAGGUCACAGGUGUGGCUCAGAUCCUGUGUUUCUGUGGCUGUGGUAUAGGCCGGCAGUUGCAGCUCUGAUUUUUGACCCCUAGCCUAGGAACUUCCAUAUGU